UAAGGAAUAUUGGUCAAUGGACGCAAGUCUGAACCAGCCAUGCCGCGUGAAGGAUGAAGGUCCUCUGGAUUGUAAACUUCUUCUAUCUGGGACGAAAACGGGAUUUUUAUCUCAAUUGACGGUACCAGAGGAAUAAGCACCGGCUAACUCCGUGCCAGCAGCCGCGGUAAUACGGAGGGUGCGAGCGUUAUCCGGAUUUACUGGGUUUAAAGGGUGCGUAGGUGGGCUUAUAAGUCAGUGGUGAAAUCUCCGAGCUUAACUUGGAAACUGCCGUUGAUACUAUAGGUCUUGAAUUAUCUGGAGGUAAGCGGAAUAUGUCAUGUAGCGGUGAAAUGCUUAGAUAUGACAUAGAACACCAAUUGCGAAGGCAGCUUACUACAUAUAAAUUGACGCUGAGGCACGAAAGCGUGGGGAUCAAACA
rnacentral:rRNA from 1 species